UGUCAUGCUGGCUGCGGCAGUGGGGGCAUUACCCAAGAAGUCAUUUGUAUUAGGAGUGUCUGUUUACAUAUUGUAGCUCUUUAAUGUUGGGAUUUUUAAGGCAAAUUUGUACAUUUAGUGACUUGGAAAAGAAAAUGCUUAAGUUAUUGCUUUUUUCAAUUGGUGUUAAACAUUUUGUAAUUUGACAGAAUUUUGUGGUUUGUUCUAGAUCAUGAGCCUGGGAGUAUUUAAUUCAGAAUGCAUUGGAAUGUCUGUGUAUCAGCUUGUACACUGUGAUGUAAGAUGGAUUGAGAG
rnacentral:misc_RNA from 1 species